rnacentral:rRNA from 1 species
CCUACGGGAGGCAGCAGUGAGGAAUAUUGGUCAAUGGGCGCGAGCCUGAACCAGCCAAGUCGCGUGAGGGAAGACGGUCCUAUGGAUUGUAAACCUCUUUUGUCGGGGAGCAAAAGACGCCACGCGUGGCGUUCCGAGAGUACCCGAAGAAAAAGCAUCGGCUAACUCCGUGCCAGCAGCCGCGGUAAUACGGAGGAUGCGAGCGUUAUCCGGAUUUGUUGGGUUAAAAGGGUGCGCAGGCGGAAGAUCAAGUCAGCGGUAAAAUUGAGAGGCUCAACCUCUUCGAGCCGUUGAAAGUGGUUUUCUUGAGUGAGUGAGAAGUAUGCGGAAGGCGUGGUGUAGCGGUGAAAUGCAUAGAUAUCACGCAGAACUCCGAUUGCGAAGGCAGCAUACCGGCGCUCAACUGACGCUCAUGCACGAAAGUGUGGGUAUCGAACAGGAUUAGAUACCCCAGUAGUC